GAUGAAGAACGCAGCGAAAUGCGAUAAGUAAUGUGAAUUGCAGAAUUCAGUGAAUCAUCGAAUCUUUGAACGCACAUUGCGCCCGCCAGUAUUCUGGCGGGCAUGCCUGUCUGAGCGUCAUUUCAACCCUCAUGCCCCUAGGGCGUGGUGUUGGGGAUCGGCCAAAGCCCGCGAGGGACGGCCGGCCCCUAAAUCUAGUGGCGGACCCGUCGUGGCCUCCUCUGCGAAGUAGUGAUAUUCCGCAUCGGAGAGCGAUGAGCCCCUGCCGUUAAACCCCCAACUUUCCAAGGUUGACCUCAGAUCAGGUAGGAAUACCCGCUGAACUUAAGCAUAUCAAUGAGCGGAGGA
rnacentral:misc_RNA from 1 species